rnacentral:rRNA from 1 species
GAGUUUGAUCGUGGCUCAGAGCGAACGCUGGCGGCAGGCCUAAUACAUGCAAGUCGAGCGCACCUUCGGGUGAGCGGCGGACGGGUGAGUAACGCGUGGGAAUGUGCCCUUUGGUACGGAACAACACAGGGAAACUUGUGCUAAUACCGUAUGUGCCCUUCGGGGGAAAGAUUUAUCGCCAUUGGAGCAGCCCGCGUUGGAUUAGCUAGUUGGUGGGGUAAAGGCCCACCAAGGCGACGAUCCAUAGCUGGUCUGAGAGGAUGAUCAGCCACACUGGGACUGAGACACGGCCCAGACUCCUACGGGAGGCAGCAGUGGGGAAUAUUGGACAAUGGGGGCAACCCUGAUCCAGCAAUGCCGCGUGAGUGAUGAAGGCCUUAGGGUUGUAAAGCUCUUUUGGCGGGGACGAUGAUGACGGUACCCGCAGAAUAAGCCCCGGCUAACUUCGUGCCAGCAGCCGCCGUAAU